GAUGAACGCUAGCGACAGGCUUAACACAUGCAAGUCGAGGGGCAGCAUAGGGUAGCAAUACUCUGAUGGCGACCGGCAAACGGGUGAGUAACGCGUAUGCAACCUACCCUGUACAGGGGGAUAACCCGGAGAAAUUCGGACUAAUAUCCCGUAAUAAUAUCCGGAGGCAUCUUUGGAUAUUUAAAGUUCCGACGGUACGGGAUGGGCAUGCGUAACAUUAGCUAGUUGGUGAGGUAACAGCUCACCAAGGCGACGACGGGUAGCCGGCCUGAGAGGGUGACCGGCCACACUGGGACUGAGACACGGCCCAGACUCCUACGGGGGGCAGCAGUGAGGAAUAUUGGUCAAUGGGCGGAAGCCUGAACCAGCCAUGCCGCGUGCAGGAAGGAGGCCCUACGGGUUGUAAACUGCUUUUACCCGGGAAGAAACCGCCCCCUGUGGGGGCGUUGCCGGUACCGGGGGAAAAGGAUCGGCUAACUCCGUG
rnacentral:rRNA from 1 species